AUUAGAUUAAAAACCAAUGCCCUUCGGGGCUCUCUGGUGAUUCAUGAUAACUUCUCGAAUCGCAUGGCCUUGCGCCGGCGAUGGUUCAUUCAAAUUUCUUCCCAAUCAACUUUCGAUGUUUGGGUAUUGGCCAAACAUGGUUGCAACGGGUAACGGAGGGUUAGGGCUCGACCCCGGAGAAGGAGCCUGAGAAACGGCUACUACAUCCAAGGAAGGCAGCAGGCGCGCAAAUUACCCAAUCCCGACUCGGGGAGGUAGUGACAAUAAAUACUGAUACAGGGUUCUUUUGGAUCUUGUAAUUGGAAUGAGUACAAUUUAAAUCCCUUAACGAGGAACAAUUGGAGGGCAAGUCUGGUGCCAGCAGCCGCGGUAAUUCCAGCUCCAAUAGCGUAUAUUAAAGUUGUUGUGGUUAAAAAGCUCGUAGUUGAACCUUGGGCCUGGCUGGCCGGUCCGCCUCACCGCGUGUACUGGUCCGGCCGGGCCUUUCCCUCUGUGGAACCCUAUGCCCUUCACUGGG
rnacentral:rRNA from 1 species